UCCCAGAACUCACCCUCCAAAAAACCACGUGCCCCACAUCCUCCGUCUCCUCCUCUCUUCCGCCAAACAGAUCCAAGAUCCCCAACGCUUAAAAAACCAACCACCGCACUCCCCUCCGCCACGCUCCCCUCCUUCGUCGGGCCGACCUUCUCUGAUCCCCGCCACAGGUCAGAUCCGUCGAGCGCGCCCUCCGCCACGAUCCCCUCCGACGACGACACGCCUUGCUGUCCGCCUCUUGGUAUAGCAGUUAUGUAGCCCAUUACAAGGAAGCAGAAUGUAUGAGAGUGGAAAUGGAAGAACUUCUAUACUCAUAUGGCGUUGAUGUAGUUUUUAAUGGUCAUGUUCAUGCCUAUGAAAGAUCAAAUCGGGUCUAUAACUACUCCUUAGAUCCAUGUGCUCCACUUCAUAUCACAGUUGGAGAUGGGGGGAAAUCGAGAGAAGAUAGAUGUUUCUCAUGCAGAUGAUCCUGGCCACUGCCCAGAUCGAUGGAGUACACGUGACUGGACUGGCAAAUUCUGUUCUUUCAACUUCACCACAGGCCCUGCUACUGACAAAUUCUACUGGGAUCGUCAACCUUACUAUAGCGCAAAGCACAGAGCAAAGUUUUGUGCAACUCUCUUGUGUGCACACGAUUCAACAUUUUUAUAAAUAUUAUUAUAAAAAUUUUCAUGGUGGUGGUUGGGUAUGCGAAUAUGUGGAUGACAAAUGAUUCUUGUGUACUUUCAUGGUGGUGGUUGUGUAUGCGAAUAUGUGGAUGAUAAAUGAUACUUGUGUAGUUUCAUUGUGGUUGUUGUGUAUGCGAAUAUAUCAAUAUGUGAAGUUUAUGCAUCUAUAAGAUUAUGUUGUUUUA